GGCCAGUUAGCUCAGUCAGCUGAGCGUGGUGCUAACAAUGCCAAGGUUGCGGGUUCAAUUCCCGUUUGGUCC
rnacentral:tRNA from 1 species